rnacentral:rRNA from 1 species
CCUAUGGGAGGCUGCAGUGGGGAAUAUUGCACAAUGGGCGCAAGCCUGAUGCAGCCAUGCCGCGUGUGUGAAGAAGGCCUUCGGGUUGUAAAGCACUUUCCGCGGGGAGGAAGGCGUUAAGGUUAAUAACCUUGGCGAUUGACGUUACCCGCAGAAGAAGCACCGGCUAACUCCGUGCCAGCAGCCGCGGUAAUACGGAGGGUGCAAGCGUUAAUCGGAAUUACUGGGCGUAAAGCGCACGCAGGCGGUCUGUCAAGUCGGAUGUGAAAUCCCCGGGCUCAACCUGGGAACUGCAUUCGAAACUGGCAGGCUAGAGUCUUGUAGAGGGGGGUAGAAUUCCAGGUGUAGCGGUGAAAUGCGUAGAGAUCUGGAGGAAUACCGGUGGCGAAGGCGGCCCCCUGGACAAAGACUGACGCUCAGGUGCGAAAGCGUGGGGAGCAAACGGGAUUAGAUACCCGAGUAGUC